rnacentral:rRNA from 1 species
UACGAAGGGGGCGAGCGUCGUUCGGAAUCACUGGGCGUAAAGGGCGCGUAGGCGGCCCUCUUAGUCGCGUGUGAAAGCCCCGGGCUCAACCUGGGAACGGCGCGCGAAACGGGAGGGCUGGAGUUCGGGAGAGGAGAGUGGAAUUCCCAGUGUAGAGGUGAAAUUCGUAGAUAUUGGGAAGAACACCGGUGGCGAAGGCGGCUCUCUGGACCGAGACUGACGCUGAGGCGGCGAAAGCGUUGGGGAGCAAACAGG